rnacentral:rRNA from 1 species
AUGAUUUUUUUUCCUCCUUUUUCCUAUAUUCAAUCUCAACACAAACAGCACAACGAGAACCAGAAACAUACCUGGAAGAAACAGGUGAAACAAUUUUCAAACCCAGUCGGGCGCGCGCUAGAAAGAAAGAACCGCGCGGGAAAAAAGCAUCGCGACCCAAAAAGCCUGCGAACGAAGUCCCCUCAUCUGGAUCCGCCGCCUCCCUGCUGCCGGACCGCAUCGUCCACCGCGUCUCCCACCCCCGUCUGGAUCCGCUGCCAGCCCGCAUCCUCCGCCGAGUCGUGCCUCCGUCUUCACCGCACCCCGGCCUUCCUCCUCUCCGCCGCGCCCUCCUCUCCGCGUUAUUCGAGUCCUCCACGCGCGGUUUGCCAAUGGAGAGGCCCAGGCUGCCGUGCUCUGGGCCUGCGCCAGCCAGCUCGAGCGCGCGCUGCACACCGCGACUAG